rnacentral:lncRNA from 1 species
AGGCUUAGAGAAAAUAAAUAGAGAAAGUGGAAAAAUGGAACCCGAGAUGCUGAGGCGUGGUAUGUUGGUCACUUUCCUUGAAGUAGAUUUCGCCGCCUUACAGUGCACUAGGCUUAGAUGGCGUUCUACUCCUGAGAUACAACAGCCUCUCGCACUGUUCCUUCUGCCUCAAUGAUUUGCACAGAUCAAAGAAGCCUGCAAACUCAGAAUCAGUAUGCAGCAAGCCCGUUGAUUGAAAGAAAAAUAGCAAACAGGGAGAAUAGAAGUUCUCUGUU